rnacentral:rRNA from 1 species
UACGUAGGGUGCGAGCGUUUAAUCGGAAUUACUGGGCGUAAAGCGUGCGCAGGCGGUUUUGUAAGCCAGAUGUGAAAUCCCCGGGCUUAACCUGGGAAUGGCAUUUGGGACUGCAAGGCUUGAGUGCGGCAGAGGAGACUAGAAUUCCUGGUGUAGCAGUGAAAUGCGUAGAUAUCAGGAGGAAUACCGAUGGCGAAGGCAGGUCUCUGGGCGUGACACUGACGUCAUGCACGAAAGCGUGGGAAGCAAACAGG